rnacentral:rRNA from 1 species
UACGAAGGGGGCUAGCGUUGCUCGGAAUCACUGGGCGUAAAGGGUGCGUAGGCGGGUCUUUUAAGUCAGGGGUGAAAUCCUGGAGCUCAACUCCAGAACUGCCUUUGAUACUGAGGAUCUUGAGUUCGGGAGAGGUGAGUGGAACUGCGAGUGUAGAGGUGAAAUUCGUAGAUAUUCGCAAGAACACCAGUGGCGAAGGCGGCUCACUGGCCCGAUACUGACGCUGAGGCACGAAAGCGUGGGGAAGCAACAGGG